rnacentral:rRNA from 1 species
UACGUAGGGUGCAAGCGUUGUCCGGAAUUAUUGGGCGUAAAGAGCUUGUAGGCGGUUUGUCGCGUCUGCUGUGAAAUUUCGGGGCUCAACCCCGAACUUGCAGUGGGUACGGGCAGACUAGAGUGUGGUAGGGGAGACGUGGAAUUCCUGGUGUAGCGGUGAAAUGCGCAGAUAUCAGGAGGAACACCGAUGGCGAAGGCAGGUCUCUGGGACGGUACUGACGCUGAGACGCGAAAGCGUGGGGAGCGAACAGG